GACGAACGCUGGCGGCGUGCCUAACACAUGCAAGUCGAACGAAGUGGCGAACGGGUGAGUAACGCGUAAUCAACCUGCCAUUCAGAGGGGGACAACAGUUGGAAACGACUGCUAAUACCGCAUACUGAAGGAGGGGACUGCGUCUGAUUAGCUAGUUGGAGGGGUAACGGCCCACCAAGGCGAUGAUCAGUAGCCGGUCUGGGAGGAUGGACGGCCACAUUGGGACUGGGACACGGCCCAGACUCCUACGGGAGGCAGCAGUGGGGAAUCUUCCGCAAUGGACGGAAGGCUGACGGAGCAACGCCGCGUGGGUGAUGACGGCCUUCGGGUUGUAAAGCUCUGUUAGUCGGGACGCGGUACCUGAAUAGAAAGCCACGGCUAACUACGUGCCAGCCGCCGCGGUAAUUC
rnacentral:rRNA from 1 species